rnacentral:rRNA from 1 species
UGAGUAACCUGCCCUCCACUCUGGGAUAAGCCCGGGAAACUGGGUCUAAUACCGGAUAUGACCUCCUGUCUCAUGGCGGGUGGUGGAAAGUUUUUCGGUGGGGGAUGGACUCGCGGCCUAUCAGCUUGUUGGUGAGGUAAUGGCUUACCAAGGCGACGACGGGUAGCCGGCCUGAGAGGGCGACCGGCCACACUGGGACUGAGACACGGCCCAGACUCCUACGGGAGCAG